CCUUUGUACACACCGCCCGUCGCUACUACCGAUUGAAUGGCUUAGUGAGGUCUUCGGAUUGGCUUCGGAGGGCCGGCAACGGCCCACUGUUGCUGAGAAGUUGAUCAAACUUGGUCAUUUAGAGGAAGUAAAAGUCGUAACAAGG
rnacentral:rRNA from 1 species